rnacentral:rRNA from 1 species
CCCGCAAGGGCACCGGCGAACGGCUUAGUAACACGUGGAUACAUACCGUAAAGUAGGGCACAGCUCGUCGAAAGACGGGGUAAUUUCCUAUAGUCCCGCAAGGGUAAAGGCGCAAGCCGCUUUAUGAAUGGUCCGCGGCCUAUCAGCUAGUUGGCGGGGUAAUGGCCCACCAAGGCUAUGACGGGUAGGGGGCGUGAGAGCGCGACCCCCAAGAGUGAGACUGCGACACGGCUCAC